UUUCGGCAGCCAGCAGCGGCAGCGCAGGCGAACCCCACGCGCCGCGCACGUGGACGAAGGUGGCACGCCCGUGCCGCCGUGCGCGCAGCACGCGGAUGCGCAUGCAGUUGCACACGGGGCGCGGCAGGCACAGGCAGCCACAGGUCGUCGCCGUGUCCUGCGAAUAGCGAGCCUGCUGCGAGGCUGUGCGAUUGCAAGUUCACGACACUGAAAAUCGCAAGUGCACUUGGAUCGGAAGGAAGGGGAAUCAUCAAAGGGCAGCAACAAGCCUAAGGCCAAAACGAGAGUUAAGGAGAUUCUGCAGGUCUAGCUAGUCGCUGCAGCUCAAAUCCAAAUCAAGCACCGGCGGCGGAGGUGCAAACGUUUCGGAUGGGGCCGAGUAUAUCGAAGGUGGGAGAGAGCGAAUUGGAUGCCACGACGACCAAGAUAAUCGUACGUUCCGGUUUGAGUUUGCUCUCUGCCGCGAGGUAGUACGUGUGCCCGUCGAAAGAUCACGAAGGGUUCGCGAUGCACCGGAUGUGGCCAUCUGCCCCUACCUAUCCAACUCCGAAGCCUCCACAACAUGGGCGCCUUGAAAAGAUUGAUGAUGAGAUGAGACAACCUUCGCAAAAAAGAAAGAUGAUGAGACCUGCUACCUAGAGCUUUUUCCUUCUGCCAGGAUUGGGACGAACAUACACGUCAGCAUGCAACUCUGCGUACAAUGCAUCUUAUUAACUCA